UACGGAGGGUGCAACCGUUGCUCGGAAUCAUUGGGCGUAAAGCGCACGUAGGCGGCCUGUUAAGUCGGAUGUGAAAGCCCCGGGCUCAACCCGGGAAGUGCAUACGAAACUGGCAGGCUUGAAUAUGGAAGAGGGUCGCGGAAUUCCCGGUGUAGAGGUGAAAUUCGUAGAUAUCGGGAGGAACACCAGUGGCGAAGGCGGCGACCUGGGCCAAUAUUGACGCUGAGGUGCGAAAGCGUGGGGAGCAAACAGG
rnacentral:rRNA from 1 species